CAUUCAUGUUUGAUUCUUUGUGACCCUUUUCAGGGUUUUCUUUGCAGAUACCAGAGUGGAAGAUAAAAUUGAAGAAGGGGGCACUUAAGACUCUAGAGAAUGGGAAGUCAAAGGCUUUGGAGAAGUGAACAAUCUGUCAAUAGACAUUUAUUAAGCACUUACUGUAUGCCAAGAAUUGUUAUCAUACUGCACAAAAAAUCCAAAUCAAAAGGAAUAAAAAGUGAGAAAGAAGAAAAAAGCAAGCAAACAACAACAGGUCCAGAAGUCUACACCAACCUGUCCUGGUCCAGGAACCCUGUGAUGUCCUGUUCCUUUUGGCUAAAGAACAAUGGACUCAUGAUGCCCUCAACAGGUAAGGAGGUUGCUAUCAGCUGCUGACUGAGCCAGGA